UCNUCUGGCUUAACUGGGGGCUUGCGGUGGGUACGGGCCGGCUUGAGUGCGGUAGGGGAGACUGGAACUCCUGGUGUAGCGGUGGAAUGCGCAGAUAUCAGGAAGAACACCGGUGGCGAAGGCGGGUCUCUGGGCCGUUACUGACGCUGAGGAGCGAAAGCGUGGGGAGCGAACAGGAUUAGAUACCCUGGUAGUCCACGCCGUAAACGUUGGGCACUAGGUGUGGGGGGCCUUUUCCGGGUCUUCCGCGCCGUAGCUAACGCAUUAAGUGCCCCGCCUGGGGAGUACGGCCGCAAGGCUAAAACUCAAAGGAAUUGACGGGGGCCCGCACAAGCGGCGGAGCAUGCGGAUUAAUUCGAUGCAACGCGAAGAACCUUACCAAGGCUUGACAUGUGCCGGUCUGCUCCGGAGACGGGGUUUCCUCCCUUGUGGGGGCUGGUUCACAGGUGGUGCAUGGUUGUCGUCAGCUCGUGUCGUGAGAUGUUGGGUUAAGUCCCGCAACGAGCGCAACCCUUGUCUCGUGUUGCCAGCACGUUGUGGUGGGGACUCGCGGGAGACUGCCGGGGUCAACUCGGAGGAAGGUGGGGAUGACGUCAAAUCAUCAUGCCCCUUAUGUCUUGGGCUUCACGCAUG
rnacentral:rRNA from 1 species